AAGUCGUAACAAGGUUUCCGUAGGUGAACCUGCGGAAGGAUCAUUAAAAGAGAGUGCUCCGGCACAAUUCUUCACCCUUGUAGUUAUCGAACAGUUGCCUUGCUCGGGCUCCGGCCCGGGCAAUGGAACCAUAAAAUCUGAUUAUCAGUGAAGUCUGAGAAAAAAUUCAAUGAAUUAAAACUUUCAACAACGGAUCUCUUGGUUCUC
rnacentral:misc_RNA from 1 species